rnacentral:tRNA from 1 species
GCGGGUGUGGCGGAACGGUAGACGCAGAGGAUUCAAAAUCCUCCGCCGCAAGGCGUGAGAGUUCGAGUCUCUCCACCCGCACCA